UUCUAUAUAGGUUCUCUUUUUUUUUAAUACAAUUUUUUUUAUAUGAUUAGAUGUUUUAGAGAAUGAAGUUUUUUAUGUUUGUUAUGAUUGGUUAACUUGUAGAUUGCCUAAAUCAUAUGCGAAACAAGGAGUCAGCACCAUGCAAAUCUUAUAUAUAUAUAUAUAGAGUCCGGCUAUUAUGCUAUCGGUAGCACGGAGUGCUCCGUGCUACCAAGUUGUUUUCGAUGAUGCAGCUUCCAAAUCGACGAUCGGCUCCGUUAGACUUGAUCUACACUAUUGAAAGUAUUUGGAAACUAAAUUUCAGAUUUUUUCGACAUCAUUUGACUAGUGAUCAAAAGAUCUCAAAAUUGACAAUUUUAAUGGCCGAUGUGGUGUGUUUGUGAGUUUAACGGUGUAAAACAAUCUAAAUGCGAUGAAAAUUUUAUAGAAAAUUCUUUUCACUAUUUAGAGUAAGAUCAGUAUAUCUGAUCUUGAAUUUAAAUUUUUUAUCAUCAUUUUUN
rnacentral:lncRNA from 1 species